CAGAGUUUGUUGCUGGCAUUUUUUGCAUGUGCACGCUUUGAUUUUUAAUAACCCACACACACCUGUGCACUUUUGUAGAAGCAUGUGUUAUAAAAUACAAAGAACAGUUUAAGGGAUUCAGUUCUCUACGCUUUCUUUGCUCGCAUGUGUCUUCUAUGUUUUUGUACAUACCCUUAUAAAAGUCUAUAGAACGUUUUUACAUUCAGACAUGUAACAGUGUCUCGAAUAAAAAUCUAAUACAACUUUCAACAAUGGAUCUCUUGGCUCUUGCAUCGAUGAAGAACGCAGCGAAAUGCGAUAAGUAAUGUGAAUUGCAGAAUUCAGUGAAUCAUCGAAUCUUUGAACGCACCUUGCACUCUUUGGUAUUCCGAAGAGUAUGCCUGUUUGAGUAUCAUGAACAUCCUCAACCGAUUUGUUUUGUUAUAUAAAACAAAAUCGGCUUGGACUUGAAGGUUGCAGGCGAAAUUGAAAUUUCUGUCAGCUCCUUUUAAAUGCAUUAGCAGAGAAAGCUUAGGUGUGAUAAAAUAUUGAACGCCUUUUUCUUUUCUCAGCUUCUAACCUUGUGUUUUGAUGGAUUUAUAACUGUUAAACGCACAUUAAAGCAACUUUGAUCUCAAAUCAGGUAGGACUACCCGCUGAACUUAAGCAUAUCAAUAAGCGGAGGAAAAGAAACUAACAAGGAUUCCCCUAGUAACUGCGAGUGAAGCGGGAAAAGCUCAAAUUUAAAAUCUGGCGGUCUUAUGGCUGUCCGAGUUGUAAUCUGGAGAAGCGUUUUCUGCGCUGGACCGUGUACAAGUCUCUUGGAAUAGAGCGUCAUAGAGGGUGAGAAUCCCGUCUUUGACACGGACUACCAGGGCUCUGUGAUGCGCUCUCAAAGAGUCGAGUUGUUUGGGAAUGCAGCUCAAAAUGGGUGGUAAAUUCCAUCUAAAGCUAAAUAUUGGCAAGAGACCGAUAGCGAACAAGUACCGUGAGGGAAAGAUGAAAAGAACUUUGGAAAGAGAGUUAAACAGUACGUGAAAUUGUUGAAAGGGAAACGCUUGACGUCAGACGCGUUUGCUGAGGAUCAACCUGGCUUUUGCUUGGUGUAUUUCUUAGUAGACGGGUCAGCAUUAAUUUUGAUCGUUGGAUAAAGGUCAAGGGAAUGUGGCACCCUCGGGUGUGUUAUAGCCUUUGAUUCGCA
rnacentral:rRNA from 1 species